UACGUAGGGAGCAAGCGUUGUUCGGAUUUACUGGGCGUAAAGGGCGCGUAGGCGGCGCGGUAAGUCACUUGUGAAAUCUCUGAGCUUAACUCAGAACGGCCAAGUGAUACUGCAGUGCUAGAGUGCAGAAAGGGCAAUCGGAAUUCUUGGUGUAGCGGUGAAAUGCGUAGAUAUCAGGAGGAACACCGGUGGCGAAGGCGGAUCUCUGGGCCUUACCUGACGCUCAGGCACGAAAGCUAGGGGAGCGAACGGG
rnacentral:rRNA from 1 species